rnacentral:lncRNA from 1 species
UUAUACUUUGCUUUCUCUUGUAUUUGGUUUUCAACUAGCUUUUCUUCCUCUUUUUUUUUCUUUUUGAAUGGCUGCUUUUUCCAAAUGAGGAGGUUGUGAUUGUAAUCAGGCUUGGAUCAGGAUCAUACCAGGCAAUAGUACCCCAAUCCAUGCCUCAAAGGGUUGAUAAGAAGAGCCUGAUGUGGCUAGCAAACGGGUGGGAGAUCAAAACCUGCCUUGCGUGUUUGAAUCGCAACCUUCUCC